UGUUUGGGUUUAUGUUCAGUUCUGUUCUGCUCUGUUCUGUUCUGUUCAAUUCAUGACUCACGUGCAUCACAAAUGACGUCAUCAACCCCUUCUAUUUUCUCUCUAUUCAAUAAUAAGAAAAGAAAAAAUGAUAUUUUUGACCGCAUCAUCUGGUUUCUACCCACCCUACCCUACCCUUAUCUCCUCCACCGACUGGAUCUGCAAUCUCUCUCCUUUGAGCUUGCUAGGGUUUUCCUCGUCGUAGAACCAACCAGUCAUGGCUAUGUCCAGUUUUUUCCAUCAAAAGGGGCGGCUGUGGAUCGAGAAAUUAUUGCAUCUGUAUAAUGGCACAUCAUACUCUACCAUUCUUGUUAUAUGACUUGGCUGAAAUUCACUGCUUUGCUUGGAUUGCAAUUGAGAAUAUUUUUGCUUAUGCCUCUAAGAGUACGUUUUUGUUCUCUCUUAUAUGUAUAUUAUAUAAUAUUAUUCUUCUUUUGUUAUAGUGAAUUACUUGAUCGUUGCAAGAAAUAAUGAUUACUUGUUUCUGUUGUAUUUGAUUUCCUUACCGGCUGUAUUGUUAUUUUUUAAAUUAUUAUAUUUGCUUAUUUAUUUAUGUAUAUUGUUUCUGGUUGUUCUAACUUUUAGAUGUCCUGAGACCAAAACUUACAAUCUUUGUUUUUCUCUGCGAGCAUAGACGACAUGUAUUUAUGCAUUUACCCUGUGAGAAUCCAUUGGUAAAUAACUUGUUCAAACAAGUUGGCUGUCAAUUCUAAUAAACGAUGACACAACUGAUUUUUUGCUGAAAUCGAGGGCCAAAAACUUCAAGUAGAAGAUAUUGCAUUAUGACUUAAGGAUAGAAGAUAACCCACUCCGUCCCUAUCUAUUGCCAUUCUUUUCUUCGUCUUCAAAUCAAAGAAGAAAAAUAUAGGAAUUCUCUCCUAUCGGUCUAUGCCAGCACCAUAAAUCAGGUUGGGGAGGAAGAUCACAAUUGGAGAUUGAUAGAAAAGCAAGGGUAUGGGCUAGUGUGGGUAGGAAACAAAAAAUAUCUAUUCUAGUUCUAUCAUCAGCUAUGGGUUCAAAUCUAAGAGAAAUUCUAGAGAGAGACCCGUGAUCCCCAAAAGAGGGAGAACUGUAUCUUGUCCUUUUACUAUUGGCAAAGGGAAUUUUGUCCUACCAAAGGAUCUUCUAUUUUCUCACCCAUAGGUUACACUACCAAGAAAAGGAUGGUACUUGCCUCUCUAGUUCUGCUUGCUCUGUAUUCUUACCAAAUAAUAAUAUCCUAUGGCAAACUGGCACCACUGGGCGAACUCUGCAGUCUGCAUGAGGCAAUUUGAAGGGUCACAUAGGUACGGCUAUGAUUUGGACAUAGUAUAAUAGUGAACCCGACUAAGCAUGAAGAGAUUCUAUUGAGCAAAAGAAUAAAGUAUACCCUAUUCUGUUCCUCAAUUGGCUUUCUUUUCCUUUCUAAAUGAAGGAAAAAGAAAAUUAGGUAAGAACUAUUUCCUACGGAUGAUUGCAUUCUUGCUCGUGCUUACGGACACAUUCCUGCUUGCCAAUUAACCAAAUGUUUUUCAUUAAUUUAAAUUUUCAAUAAAUAAGACAAUUCAUUCUAAUUCUCUACCUGGUAAGUGCAGUAUGGUGUGCUUGAAUAUUGACAUGGUAUUUUGUCCUAUAAAGGGAGUUUCUACUACAUGCCACACUUCUUGCUCUCCUCUCUUUAUUCUUAGAAAAGAGUAAGAACCUAAAAGAUGCAAGAAGGGCCCACAUCAUUCUUAGCCACAAGAAAAUGAAACAAUGUGCCAUUUUGUACCCUGCCCAAAUAGUGAAGGCUUUUCCAAUCACUUAGAUACCAUUGCAGCUAUCAUGAUCAAUCAUAUCUUUUCAAUGUCAACAGUGAGAGAGAGAGAGAGAGGAGAGAGAGAGAGAGAGAGAGAGAGAGAGAGAGUUAAUGUAAUGUAUUUAAAGUUCUAAACUCAAUGGUGAAACCAGUUGCUAUUUUUGGCAAAAUCUUUCGAGGUAUCAUAUAUUGUGCUCACUCUAAGUUGUUGUAGAGUCUCCAGAAUUUCUUCGAAUUUGGGAACGAGGAGUCCUUCCCUUACCUUGGUUAUCUCAUUCGUGCAAUACAACGCUAGGUUUGUGAUCUUGACAGCGUCACUUCCACUGCACCCUGUUUUCCUAAUUUCUUUGUUGACCACGUGCCCAUUCUUGUCAGCCUCUUCCUUUGCCCAAUCCGGUAUCACAACAUUUCUUAUUGAACCCUCCCCCCCUCUUUGUAUGACUUCAUCUCUUUUCAUGAUCAGCUGGAGCAUUACUACUCCAAAGCUGUAAACAUCAUACUUUUGUUUUGCGAGAUAGACUGCCAACAAAAAAUAGGAAGAAAAUCAAUUGUUAGUUCUGUUUGAAAAAGGAAGUAUGGAGUAGUAGAUAUAUUAUUACUUGAAAGAGGGGAAAAAAAAGAUAAAGAAAAAAAAAAAAAAAAAAAAAAAGAAA